GAUGAAGAACGUAGCGAAAUGCGAUAAGUAAUGUGAAUUGCAGAAUUCAGUGAAUCAUCGAAUCUUUGAACGCACAUUGCGCCCUCUGGUAUUCCGGGGGGCAUGCUUGUUCGAGCGUCAUUAUAACCACUCAAGCUCUCGCUUGGUAUUGGGGUUCGCGGUUUCGCGGCCCCUAAAAUCAGUGGCGGUGCCUGUCGGCUCUACGCGUAGUAAUACUUCUCGCGAUUGAGUUCGAUAGGUCUACUUGCCAGUAACCCCCAAUUUUUACAGGUUGACCUCGGAUCAGGUAGGGAUACCCGCUGAACUUAAGCAUAUCAAUAAGCGGAGGA
rnacentral:misc_RNA from 1 species